rnacentral:rRNA from 1 species
GACGUAGGGCGCGAGCGUUGUCCGGAUUUAUUGGGCGUAAAGAGCUCGUAGGCGGCUUGUCGCGUCGUUCGUGAAAACUCACAGCUCAACUGUGAGCUUGCGGUCGAUACGGGCAGGCUAGAGUUCGGUAGGGGAGACUGGAAUUCCUGGUGUAGCGGUGAAAUGCGCAGAUAUCAGGAGGAACACCAGUGGCGAAGGCGGCUCACUGGCCCGGUACUGACGCUGAGGUGCGAAAGCGUGGGGAGCAAACAGG